CUCUGUGACUCCUACGGGAGGCAGCAGUGGGGAAUAUUGCACAAUGGGGGAAACCCUGAUGCAGCCAUGCCGCGUGUGUGAAGAAGGCCUUCGGGUUGUAAAGCACUUUCAGUUGUGAGGAAGGUGGUGUCGUUAAUAGCGGCAUCAUUUGACGUUAGCAACAGAAGAAGCACCGGCUAACUCCGUGCCAGCAGCCGCGGUAAUACGGAGGGUGCGAGCGUUAAUCGGAAUUACUGGGCGUAAAGCGCAUGCAGGUGGUUUGUUAAGUCAGAUGUGAAAGCCCGGGGCUCAACCUCGGAACUGCAUUUGAAACUGGCAGACUAGAGUACUGUAGAGGGGGUAGAAUUUCAGGUGUAGCGGUGAAAUGCGUAGAGAUCUGAAGGAAUACCGGUGGCGAAGGCGGCCCCCUGGACAGAUACUGACACUCAGAUGCGAAAGCGUGGGGAGCAAACAGGAUUAGAUACCCUGGUAG
rnacentral:rRNA from 1 species